rnacentral:rRNA from 1 species
AAGCAGCGGAGCAUGUGGUUAAUUCGAAGCAACGCGUAAGAACCUUACCAGAUCUUGACAUCCAAUUGACCAUCUUUUAAUCGAGAUUUUGCCUUCGGGUACAAUUGAGACAGGUGGUGCAUGGUUGUCGUCAGCUCGUGUCGUGAGAUGUUGGGUUAAGUCCCGCAACGAGCGCAACCCUUGUGUUUAGUUGCAAACAGGUAAUGCUGUGCACUCUAGACAGACUGCCGUGGACAACACGGAGGAAGGUGGGAUGACGUCAAGUCCUCAUGGCCUUUAUGUCCAGGGCUACACACGUGCUACAAUGGGUGGUACAAAGAGCCGCGAACUCGCGAGAGCAAGCAAAUCUCAAAAAACCAUCCUCAGUUCGGAUUGGAGUCUGCAACUCGACUCCAUGAAGCUGGAAUCGCUAGUAAUCGCGGAUCAGCAUGCCGCGGUGAAUACGUUCCCGGGCCUU